CUUGCUUAGAGUAAAGAGGGAAGAGUGCGCUGAAGAGUAGGACAGCCCGCCACCCCAGGCCCCGGUCUCCCGGUGGUCGAUGGGUGGCCAUGGAUCUAUACCUCCACAGCUGCUAGCCCACAGAAACACCCAGUUCCAGAAAUUGGAGUGGCUCGCCUGUUGGAUCUGCCUCUUGGGGUCAAGCUGCCUGUUUUGCCAGGAAGCACUAAUGUAUUCUAUACUACAAAUAUAAGUGAAAAGCUUUAUCAACCUUCUUUGGGGUUUAACCUUGCUGAUCCUUACUGCCAGCUUUUGGAAACAACCUAUAAAAGCCUUCACGAUCCACACUUAAAAACAUGCUACCAGCGAAAAGGUAUGCUGAGGAGAUUAAGAAGAGGUCAUAUGUUCUUUGAGUGA
rnacentral:lncRNA from 1 species